UUGAAUGAAACUAUUACAUUGAUAAUGAAUUAGCUGUUGUCAAAGAAACAUCAGGCUUGGGAGUUUAAUGUCCCAUAAGAAACCAGAGAAAUGAAAACAACUAUAAGUCCAGAUUUUUGCUGAACCAUACAUAACGUUAGAGUAUCCGUGAAUCGUAGAAUACAUAUCGCAUCGCGCGCAUAGAUGCCCAUUUGUGCUGCUAAGAGCCCUUGGAAGGUUGAAGUGCUGCUGUGAGACGAUCUUUGAAGCCACGUAAGAACAUUUUUGCGAAAUGGAUAACCCCAAGAAGUGAGAGAUUAAUCAAGAUAGGUAAAAG
rnacentral:lncRNA from 1 species